rnacentral:rRNA from 1 species
UACGAAGGGUGCUAGCGUUGUUCGGAAUCACUGGGCGUAAAGCGCGCGUAGGCGGCGAUACAAGUCAGGGGUGAAAUCCCACAGCUCAACUGUGGAAUUGCCUUUGAAACUAGAUUGCUAGAGUGUCGGAGGUGAUAGCGGAAUUGCUAAUGUAGAGGUGAAAUUCGUAGAUAUUAGCAGGAACACCGGUGGCGAAGGCGGCUAUCUGGACGACAACUGACGCUGAGGCGCCAAAGCGUUGGGAUCAAACAGG